UCUGGGUCCAACCUCCCACCCGUGUCUAUCGUACCUUGUUGCUUCGGCGGGCCCGCCGUUUCGACGGCCGCCGGGGAGGCCUCGCGCCCCCGGGCCCGCGCCCGCCGAAGACCCCAACAUGAACGCUGUUCUGAAAGUAUGCAGUCUGAGUUGAUUAUCAUAAUCAGUUAAAACUUUCAACAACGGAUCUCUUGGUUCCGGCAUCGAUGAAGAACGCAGCGAAAUGCGAUAAGUAAUGUGAAUUGCAGAAUUCAGUGAAUCAUCGAGUCUUUGAACGCACAUUGCGCCCCCUGGUAUUCCGGGGGGCAUGCCUGUCCGAGCGUCAUUGCUGCCCUCAAGCACGGCUUGUGUGUUGGGCCCCGUCCCCUCCCCCGGGGACGGGCCCGAAAGGCAGCGGCGGCACCGCGUCCGGUCCUCGAGCGUAUGGGGCUUUGUCACCCGCUCUGUAGGCCCGGCCGGCGCCAGCCGACACCCAACUUUAUUUUCUAAGGUUGACCUCGGAUCAGGUAGGGAUACCCGC
rnacentral:rRNA from 1 species